rnacentral:sRNA from 13 species
UACAAAAGCAUAUAUAAUUUAAAUCAAAUAUCACAAAACAUAUCAAUGUGUGUUAAGAACCAUAGCAAACAUCAGAAAACAUAUCAAUUAUAUAGUGACUGACUUAUGAUAAAGGUAGAGUUGAUUACUUUAUAAAGAAACCGACGCGUGGACCAAAUUUCACAUAUCUUGAGAUCAUUGAACCGAAAGGAAUUAAUACCAAUGCUAAAGACUUUGCAGACGUUAGCUGAGAAUUCGUCCAAUUUAUUUGGCAAGGUUAACUGAGUCGCCAACAUAGCCAACUAUCAGAAACAGAACCUGUUGGGCAGCCAUCACCAUCUGCUCCACAUCGCCGAACCGAAUCAACUGCAACUGCUGCCCGCAGUGACUACGACGACGACGACGCCGACUUCA